CCUACGGGGGGCUGCAGUGGGGAAUUUUCGGCAAUGGGGGGAACCCUGACCGAGCAACGCCGCGUGAGGGAAGAAGGUCUUCGGAUCGUAAACCUUUGUCAUCAGGGACGAUCAUGACGGUACCUGAGGAGGAAGCCACGGCUAACUACGUGCCAGCAGCCGCGGUAAUACGUAGGUGGCGAGCGUUGUCCGGAAUUACUGGGCGUAAAGGGCGUGUAGGUGGCCUUUUAAGUCAGGCGUGAAAACCCACGGCUUAACCGUGGGCCUGCGCUUGAAACUGGGGGGCUUGAGGGCAGGAGAGGAAAGCGGAAUUCCCAGUGUAGCGGUGAAAUGCGUAGAUAUUGGGAGGAACACCAGUGGCGAAGGCGGCUUUCUGGACUGACCCUGACACUGAGGCGCGAAAGCCAGGGGAGCGAACGGGCUUAGAUACCCCAGUAGUC
rnacentral:rRNA from 1 species